rnacentral:lncRNA from 1 species
AUGUAUGUUCUAUUUGAAAUAAAAAAAAUAUAUAUAAAUAUAUUUAUUCAAUUAUUGUUAAAAUUAUUAUGUGAAAAAAAUAUACGAACACAUAAGAUGUGUUUAUUUUUAUUAAAUUAUUUAUAUAAUUAUGCUACUUUUAAUGAUAAACAAGAAAUGGAUCAUUUUAGUUUUAACAUUGUUUUUAACAAAUACUGUCAUGAUUUCCCUUAUGAGUUAUUUUUAAAAAAAAAAUUUGAUGAUAAUAUAAGAAAAAGUAAAAUUAAUAUUUACCAGUAUUUAAGUAGCUAUUCAACAAAUAUUUCGACAGUGUUUAAACAUAUGGUUACUCACGUGUGUGAUUAUCACGAACCUAUAUAUUUAAAAAAGAACAAACAACAGCCGAAAGAGGAUAGCCGAAAAAAACAAACAGACCAAACAUAUCGAAACGAUCCAGGGAUUGACAAAACGAAUAAGUAUAGUAAUGAUUACCUAGGUGACAUGGUCGGAAUAAAUAAAAAAAACGCUUGUCUAUCUAAAAAAAUAGAAAACAAUUUUGACACUUAUAAAAAUGAAAAUACUCUUUCAAAAUGUACUAAAAAAAUAAAGAAAAUAAAAAAAUGUAUUUGUAAAUAUGAAGAAGAAAUUACACCUUUAUUUUUAAACAAAAAUUAUAAAUAUAAUCUUAUUAAAACAAUAUUUAACAAAAUUAACAACUUUAUAUAUUUAUACAAUUAUGCUUUAAAAUAUACUAGUUUUUCGAUUUUUCACAAAAAUAAGUUUAACUCAACACGCAAAGGAAUUAUAAGGGGAAAUAAGACAAACGUGGAGGAUGAAUGUACCAAUUGGAGUGAGCGUACUGAAAACGGUGGAAAAAAUGAAAAAAACGAAAAAAACGAAGAAACCGAAAAAAACGAAGUAACCGAAAAAAACGAAGAAACGGAAAAAAACGAAAAAACGGAAAAAAACGAAGAAACGGAAAAAAACGAAGAAACGGAAAAAAGCGAAGAAACGGAAAAAAAAGAAAAAACGGGACAAAACGAAAAAACGGGACAAAACGAAAAAACGGGACAAACCGAAUUAAUGUUCGAAAACGUACACAUUAACAACAAUUUUAUAGACGAAAUAAACCUUAGCGAAGGAGAAGAAAAAAUGUCAAUAGAAGAUGAAAAUUUAAUUAAAGAUGUUCAUUUUUUAUUAGAUAAAACAAAAAAGAAUAUUAGUGUUAUAAAAUAUUUGGAAUAUAACGAAACUUAUUUAUAUAGUCAUAUAUUUUAUCUCUUAUUUUUAAACAAAUAUAAUUAUUAUUUGAUAAGAGGUUUUUUUACUGCUUUAUGUUACUAUUCGUCUUAUACUGAAUAUAGCAAAUAUGAAUAUACAAACUUAAUUAACAAAGGAAAAUCAAAAUCAGUUGAAUUUUUAUUUUUAGAAUUUUUAGUGAAGUAUAAAGAUAUAUAUACAUUUGGGUACAUUAGAGAUAAUAUUUUAUUUUUAUAUAUACGCUAUUAUAUAAUUUAUUUUAAAAAUUAUGACUAUUCUAUUGUUGAUACAAUUUUUAAUUAUUAUAAUAAUAUAAAGAAAAAAGAAGAAAAAAAUAGUAUAUAUAUGCACGACAAUGUUAACCAUAUAAAUAAUAUAAAUAAAAGUAAUGUUUAUAACGGAUCUUCUAAUAUUCCACCGUUUGUGCAUAAUAACAAUACAAAUGACAUUUCAACAGUGUUUUCAUCACAAUCACCACCCGACACAUCAUCCCAAAUAUCAACAACAACUAUACAGGACGAUGAAGAUUUUUCAUUAUACAAUUGCAAUAUACAUAAUAUAAAUUUAAAUGAAAUAAUUAAGUUGGAAAAAAAAAAAGAAAAAAAAUUUAAUUAUGCAAAAAAAUUUAUUUCAUAA